AGAGUUUGAUCCUGGCUCAGGAUGAACGCUGGCGGCGUGCUUAACACAUGCAAGUCGAACGAGCCUUCGGGCUAGUGGCGGACGGGUGAGUAACGCGUGAGAAUCUGCCCUCAGGAGGGGGAUAACGGCUGGAAACGGCCGCUAAUACCCCAUAUGCCGCGAGGUGAAAUGAGAAAUCGCCUGAGGAUGAGCUCGCGUCUGAUUAGCUAGUUGGUGGGGUAAGAGCCUACCAAGGCAUCGAUCAGUAGCUGGUCUGAGAGGAUGAUCAGCCACACUGGGACUGAGACACGGCCCAGACUCCUACGGGAGGCAGCAGUGGGGAAUUUUCCGCAAUGGGCGCAAGCCUGACGGAGCAACGCCGCGUGAGGGAUGAAGGCCUCUGGGCUGUAAACCUCUUUUCUCAAGGAAGAAGAACUGACGGUACUUGAGGAAUAAGCCACGGCUAAUUCCGUGCCAGCAGCCGCGGUAUACGGGAGUGGCAAGCGUUAUCCGGAAUUAUUGGGCGUAAAGCGUCCGCAGGCGGUCUUGAAAGUCUGUUGUUAAAGCGUGUAGCUCAACUCCAUUUCAGCAAUGGAAACUAGAAGACUAGAGUGUGGUAGGGGCAGAGGGAAUUCCCGGUGUAGCGGUGAAAUGCUAGAUAUCGGGAAGAACACCAGUGGCGAAGGCGCUCUGCUGGGCCAUAACUGACGCUCAUGGACGAAAGCCAGGGGAGCGAAAGGGAUUAGAUACCCCUGUAGUCCUGGCCGUAAACGAUGAACACUAGGUGUCGGGGGAAUCGACCCCCUCGGUGUCGUAGCCAACGCGUUAAGUGUUCCGCCUGGGGAGUACGCACGCAAGUGUGAAACUCAAAGGAAUUGACGGGGGCCCGCACAAGCGGUGGAGUAUGUGGUUUAAUUCGAUGCAACGCGAAGAACCUUACCAGGGUUUGACAUCCUGCGAAUCUUUUGGAAACAGAAGAGUGCCUUCGGGAGCGCGGAGACAGGUGGUGCAUGGCUGUCGUCAGCUCGUGUCGUGAGAUGUUGGGUUAAGUCCCGCAACGAGCGCAACCCACGUCUUUAGUUGCCAGCAUUAAGUUGGGCACUCUAGAUAGACCGCCGGUGAUAAACCGGAGGAAGGUGUGGAUGACGUCAAGUCAUCAUGCCCCUUACAUCCUGGGCUACACACGUACUACAAUGCUACGGACAGAGGGCAGCAAACUCGCGAGAGCUAGCAAAUCCCAUAAACCGUGGCUCAGUUCAGAUCGUAGGCUGCAACUCGCCUACGUGAAGGAGAAAUCGCUAGUAAUCGCAGGUCAGCAUACUGCGGUGAAUACGUUCCCGGGCCUUGUAC
rnacentral:rRNA from 1 species